rnacentral:rRNA from 1 species
UGCGUAGGCGGCCUAUUAAGUGGUCUGUGAAAGCCCGUAGCUCAACUACGGAAUUGCAGGCCAAACUGAUAGGCUCGAGGGUUGCAGAGGUGAGCGGAACUCAGGGUGUAGCGGUGAAAUGCGUAGAUAUCUUGGGGAACACCAGAGGCGAAGGCGGCUCACUGGGCAAUUCCUGACGCUGAGGCACGAAAGCCAGGGGAGCGAACAGGAUUAGAUACCCUGGUAGUCC